rnacentral:tRNA from 1 species
GGGGGUGUAGCUCAGCUGGUAGAGCACCUGUUUUGCAUGCAGGGGGUCAGCGGUUCGAUUCCGCUCAUCUCCACCA